AGGUAAGCUACUAAGAGCGAAUGGUGGAUGCCUUGACUGGUAGAGGCGAUGAAGGACGUACUAGACUGCGAUAAGCUACGGGGAGCUGUCAAGAAGCUUUGAUCCGUAGAUUUCCGAAUGGGGCAACCCAAUGUAUAGAGAUAUACAUUACCUAUAUAGGAGCGAACGAGGGGAAUUGAAACAUCUUAGUACCCUCAGGAAAAGAAAUCAAUAGAGAUUGCGUCAGUAGCGGCGAGCGAAAGCGCAAGAGGGCAAACCCAGUGCUUGCACUGGGGGUUGUAGGACUGCAAUGUGCAAGAGGUAAGUUUAGCAGAACAUUCUGGAAAGUAUAACCAUAGAGGGUGAUAGUCCCGUAUGCGAAAAACAAACCUUAGCUAGCAGUAUCCUGAGUAGGGCGGGACACGAGGAAUCCUGUCUGAAUCCGGGUCGACCACGAUCCAACCCUAAAUACUAAUACCAGAUCGAUAGUGCACAAGUACCGUGAGGGAAAGGUGAAAAGAACUGAGGUGAUCAGAGUGAAAUAGAACCUGAAACCAUUUGCUUACAAUCAUUCAGAGCACUAUGUAGCAAUACAGUGUGAUGGACUGCCUUUUGCAUAAUGAGCCUGCGAGUUGUGGUGUCUGGCAAGGUUAAGCAAACGCGAAGCCGUAGCGAAAGCGAGUCUGAAUAGGGCGCUUAGUCAGAUGCUGCAGACCCGAAACGAAGUGAUCUAUCCAUGAGCAAGUUGAAGCUAGUGUAAGAACUAGUGGAGGACUGAACCCAUAGGCGUUGAAAAGCCCCGGGAUGACUUGUGGAUAGGGGUGAAAGGCCAAUCAAACUUCGUGAUAGCUGGUUCUCUCCGAAAUAUAUUUAGGUAUAGCGUUGUGUCGUAAUAUAAGGGGGUAGAGCACUGAAUGGGCUAGGGCAUACACCAAUGUACCAAACCCUAUCAAACUCCGAAUACCUUAUAUGUAAUCACAGCAGUCAGGCGGCGAGUGAUAAAAUCCGUCGUCAAGAGGGAAACAACCCAGACUACCAGCUAAGGUCCCUAAAUCUUACUUAAGUGGAAAACGAUGUGAAGUUACUUAAACAACCAGGAGGUUGGCUUAGAAGCAGCCAUCCUUUAAAGAAAGCGUAAUAGCUCACUGGUCUAGUGAUUUUGCGCGGAAAAUAUAACGGGGCUAAAGUAAGUACCGAAGCUGUAGACUUGCACACAACUUAGAUUAUUUAAGUUUAGAAUAUGAGAAACUAAGUUAUAUGUUUAGUUAUAUUUUUACUGAUUUUUAUAGAGUAAAGAUAGAAAUAAAACUUAGUAAAAUCAGUAAAAAUAUUCUUAGACUAAAGUUAAGUAGUUUAAGUUGUGUGCAAGUGGUAGGAGAGCGUUCUAUUUGCGUCGAAGGUAUACCGGUAAGGAGUGCUGGAGCGAAUAGAAGUGAGCAUGCAGGCAUGAGUAGCGAUAAUUAAUGUGAGAAUCAUUAACGCCGUAAACCCAAGGUUUCCUACGCGAUGCUCGUCAUCGUAGGGUUAGUCGGGUCCUAAGUCGAGUCCGAAAGGGGUAGACGAUGGCAAAUUGGUUAAUAUUCCAAUACCAACAUUAGUGUGCGAUGGAAGGACGCUUAGGGCUAAGGGGGCUAGCGGAUGGAAGUGCUAGUCUAAGGUCGUAGGAGGUUGUACAGGCAAAUCCGUAUAACAAUACUCCGAGAACUGAAAGGCUUUUUGAAGUCUUCGGAUGGAUAGAAGAACCCCUGAUGCCGUCGAGCCAAGAAAAGUUUCUAAGUUUAGCUAAUGUUGCCCGUACCGUAAACCGACACAGGUGGGUGGGAUGAGUAUUCUAAGGCGCGUGGAAGAACUCUCUUUAAGGAACUCUGCAAAAUAGCACCGUAUCUUCGGUAUAAGGUGUGGUUAGCUUUGUAUUAGGAUUUACUCCGAAAGCAAGGAAACUUACAACAAAGAGUCCCUCCCGACUGUUUACCAAAAACACAGCACUCUGCUAACUCGUAAGAGGAUGUAUAGGGUGUGACGCCUGCCCGGUGCUCGAAGGUUAAUUGAUGGGGUUAGCAUUAGCGAAGCUCUUGAUCGAAGCCCGAGUAAACGGCGGCCGUAACUAUAACGGUCCUAAGGUAGCGAAAUUCCUUGUCGGUUAAAUACCGACCUGCAUGAAUGGCGUAACGAGAUGGGAGCUGUCUCAAAGAGGGAUCCAGUGAAAUUGUAGUGGAGGUGAAAAUUCCUCCUACCCGCGGCAAGACGGAAAGACCCCGUGGACCUUUACUAUAGCUUGACACUGCUACUUGGAUAAGAAUGUGCAGGAUAGGUGGGAGGCUUUGAGUAUAUGACGCCAGUUGUAUAUGAGCCAUUGUUGAGAUACCACUCUUUCUUAUUUGGGUAGCUAACCAGCUUGAGUUAUCCUCAAGUGGGACAAUGUCUGGUGGGUAGUUUGACUGGGGCGGUCGCCUCCCAAAUAAUAACGGAGGCUUACAAAGGUUGGCUCAGAACGGUUGGAAAUCGUUCGUAGAGUAUAAAGGUAUAAGCCAGCUUAACUGCAAGACAUACAAGUCAAGCAGAGACGAAAGUCGGUCUUAGUGAUCCGGUGGUUCUGUGUGGAAGGGCCAUCGCUCAAAGGAUAAAAGGUACCCCGGGGAUAACAGGCUGAUCUCCCCCAAGAGCUCACAUCGACGGGGAGGUUUGGCACCUCGAUGUCGGCUCAUCGCAUCCUGGGGCUGGAGCAGGUCCCAAGGGUAUGGCUGUUCGCCAUUUAAAGCGGUACGCGAGCUGGGUUCAGAACGUCGUGAGACAGUUCGGUCCCUAUCUGCCGUGGGCGUAAGAAGAUUGAAGAGAUUUGACCCUAGUACGAGAGGACCGGGUUGAACAAACCACUGGUGUAGCUGUUGUUCUGCCAAGAGCAUCGCAGCGUAGCUAAGUUUGGAAAGGAUAAACGCUGAAAGCAUCUAAGCGUGAAGCCAACUCUAAGAUGAAUCUUCUCUAAGCUCUCUAGAAGACUACUAGUUUGAUAGGCUGGGUGUGUAAUGGAUGAAAGUCCUUUAGCUGACCAGUACUAAUAGAGCGUUUGGCUUAUCUUU
rnacentral:rRNA from 1 species